GUGCUCUGCAGGCCUGAUGUUUGUGGGAAUUUGUGACUGAAUCAAAAGUAGGGCUCUGAUGUCACUAAACUGGUGCAUCUCCUCGUAGUCUUCUCACAAGACUUUCAGAAUCAAGCGAUUCCUGGCAAAGAAACAAAAGCAAAAUCGUCCUAUUCCUCAAUGGAUUCGGAUGAAAACUGGUAACAAAAUCAGGUAAGACUAACGUUGUAGAUACACAGUUGCAAAGCACAUGCCAUUCAAGACAGAGCCUCUGUUUACUACGCUGUGGCGCUCCUUUGGUUUUCCCCUGUGUGUUUCAUUGAGUUCUAUGUGGCCACAGCUAGGCUUUGAGGCAGAGCUUUCUCACUUGGUAAUUCCCUAGGAAGGCUUAAGGAGAUUCGACUAUCCUGGCGGGAGAUUUUAUUUUAUUUAUUUUUUAACUACAACCAGAGUUGAAUCGGCAUCAGAACUCAGGACCAGCUGGACCUUUGAGAGGAUUGGGAUCGAACCCAAGGCCUCCUUCAGACAUAGGAAGUGCCUUACUGAGUUCUUUCUGUCUGAAGCCUUUGAGGCUUAGAGGGAAGAGUAUUUGUGUGGGGAUGCCUGCCCAUAUGUGGUCAGAGGAUAGUUGGUGGGAAUUGGUUCUCUUCCCAAAGUGCUGGGAUUAAAUUUGAGCACUGCCCAGUUUAGGGAUUAGUAAAAAUUUGGGUGUGUAU
rnacentral:lncRNA from 1 species